rnacentral:rRNA from 1 species
UGGGGAAUAUUGGACAAUGGGGGAAACCCUGAUCCAGCAAUGCCGCGUGUGUGAAGAAGGCCUGCGGGUUGUAAAGCACUUUCAGUAGAGAGGAAAAGCUUAGAGUUAAUAGCUCUGAGUCUUGACGUAACCUACAGAAGAAGCACCGGCUAACUCCGUGCCAACAGCCGCGGUAAUACGGAGGGUGCAAGCGUUAAUCGGAAUUACUGGGCGUAAAGCGCGCGUAGGCGGUCUGGUCAGUCGGAUGUGAAAGCCCCGGGCUUAACCUGGGAAUUGCAUUCGAUACUGCCAAACUAGAAUGUUAGAGAGGGAAGUGGAAUUUCCGGUGUAGCGGUGAAAUGCGUAGAGAUCGGAAGGAACACCAGUGGCGAAGGCGGCUUCCUGGCUAAACAUUGACGCUGAGGUGCGAAAGCGUGGGGAGCAAACAGG